rnacentral:rRNA from 1 species
AGCAGUCGCCGCGGGAAUACGUAGGGUGCAAGCGUUAAUCGGAAUUACUGGGCGUAAAGCGUGCGCAGGCGGUUUUGUAAGACAGAGGUGAAAUCCCCGGGCUCAACCUGGGAACUGCCUUUGUGACUGCAAGGCUAGAGUACGGCAGAGGGGGAUGGAAUUCCGCGUGUAGCAGUGAAAUGCGUAGAUAUGCGGAGGAACACCGAUGGCGAAGGCAAUCCCCUGGGCCUGUACUGACGCUCAUGCACGAAAGCGUGGGGAGCAAACAGGAUUAGAUACCCCUGUAGUCCCUGUCUCUUAUAC